rnacentral:rRNA from 1 species
GACGAACGCUGGCGGCGUGCUUAACACAUGCAAGUCGAACGGAAAGGCCCUGCUUUUGUGGGGUGCUCGAGUGGCGAACGGGUGAGUAACACGUGAGUAACCUGCCCUUGACUUUGGGAUAACUUCAGGAAACUGGGGCUAAUACCGGAUAGGAGCUCCUGCUGCAUGGUGGGGGUUGGAAAGUUUCGGCGGUUGGGGAUGGACUCGCGGCUUAUCAGCUUGUUGGUGGGGUAGUGGCUUACCAAGGCUUUGACGGGUAGCCGGCCUGAGAGGGUUACCGGCGACAUUGGGACUGAGAGACGGACCAGACUCCAACGGGAGGCAGCAGUGGGGAAUAUUGCACAAUGGGCGGAAGCCUGAUGCAGCAACGCCGCGUGCGGGAUGACGGCCUUCGGGUUGUAAACCGCUUUCGCCUGUGACGAAGCGUGAGCGACGGUAAUGGGUAAAGAAGCACCGGCUAACUACGUG